UGGUGAAUGGCAUCGGUGACAGACAAACAGGAUAUUAAACCAGUUUCAACCCCUUUGAACCUGUAAUUGUUUAUCCUCUGUCACUAACAGACAAGUUCGCAACUA